UACGGAGGAUCCGAGCGUUAUCCGGAUUUAUUGGGCGUAAAGAGCGCGCAGGCGGUAUGACAAGUCAGAUGUGAAAGAGGCCGGCUUAACCGGCAAGGGUCAUUUGAAACUGUCAGACUAGAGUGCAGCAGAGGAUAGUGGAAUUCCCGGUGUAGUGGUGAAAUGCGUAGAUAUCGGGAGGAACACCAGUGGCGAAGGCGACUAUCUGGGCUGCAACUGACGCUGAGGCGCGAAGGCUAGGGUAGCAAACAGG
rnacentral:rRNA from 1 species